AGAGUUUGAUCCUGGCUCAGAUUGAACGCUGGCGGUAGGCUUAACACAUGCAAGUCGAGCGGAAACGAUGUAGCUUGCUACAGGCGUCGAGCGGCGGACGGGUGAGUAACGCGUAGGAACCUACCUAGUAGUUUGGGAUAGCCAUUGGAAACGAUGAUUAAUACCGGAUACGCCCUACGGGGGAAAGUGGAGGAUCUUCGGACUUCACGCUAUUAGAUGGGCCUGCGUAAGAUUAGCUAGUUGGUGAGGUAAAGGCUCACCAAGGCGACGAUCUUUAGCUGGUUUGAGAGGAUGAUCAGCCACACUGGGACUGAGACACGGCCCAGACUCCUACGGGAGGCAGCAGUGGGGAAUAUUGCACAAUGGGCGCAAGCCUGAUGCAGCCAUACCGCGUGUGUGAAGAAGGCCCUAGGGUUGUAAAGCACUUUCAGCGAGGAGGAAAGGUUGGUAGUUAAUAACUGCUAGCUGUGACGUUACUCGCAGAAGAAGGACCGGCUAACUCCGUGCCAGCAGCCGCGGUAAUACGGAGGGUCCGAGCGUUAAUCGGAAUUACUGGGCGUAAAGCGUACGUAGGUGGUUUGUUAAGUUGGAUGUGAAAGCCCAGGGCUCAACCUUGGAACUGCAUUCAAAACUGAUGAACUCGAGUAUGGUAGAGGUAAGUGGAAUUUCCUGUGUAGCGGUGAAAUGCGUAGAGAUGGGAAGGAACAUCAGUGGCGAAGGCGACUUACUGGACCAAUACUGACACUGAGGUACGAAAGCGUGGGUAGCAGACAGGA
rnacentral:rRNA from 1 species